GGGUCGUUAGCUCAGUUGGUAGAGCAGUUGACUUUUAAUCGACGGCCCGAAGGGCGAGCGAAGCGAGUCAUCCUGCACGACCCACCA
rnacentral:tRNA from 1 species